rnacentral:rRNA from 1 species
CAGUCGAGCGGUAGAGAGAAGCUUGCUUCUCUUGAGAGCGGCGGACGGGUGAGUAAUGCCUAGGAAUCUGCCUGGUAGUGGGGGAUAACGUUCGGAAACGGACGCUAAUACCGCAUACGUCCUACGGGAGAAAGCAGGGGACCUUCGGGCCUUGCGCUAUCAGAUGAGCCUAGGUCGGAUUAGCUAGUUGGUGAGGUAAUGGCUCACCAAGGCGACGAUCCGUAACUGGUCUGAGAGGAUGAUCAGUCACACUGGAACUGAGACACGGUCCAGACUCCUACGGGAGGCAGCAGUGGGGAAUAUUGGACAAUGGGCGAAAGCCUGAUCCAGCCAUGCCGCGUGUGUGAAGAAGGUCUUCGGAUUGUAAAGCACUUUAAGUUGGGAGGAAGGGCAGUUACCUAAUACGUGAUUGUUUUGACGUUACCGACAGAAUAAGCACCGGCUAACUCUGUGCCAGCAGCCGCGGUAAUACAGAGGGUGCAAGCGUUAAUCGGAAUUACUGGGCGUAAAGCGCGCGUAGGUGGUUAGUUAAGUUGGAUGUGAAAUCCCCGGGCUCAACCUGGGAACUGCAUUCAAAACUGACUGACUAGAGUAUGGUAGAGGGUGGUGGAAUUUCCUGUGUAGCGGUGAAAUGCGUAGAUAUAGGAAGGAACACCAGUGGCGAAGGCGACCACCUGGACUGAUACUGACACUGAGGUGCGAAAGCGUGGGGAGCAAACAGGAUUAGAUACCCUGGUAGUCCACGCCGUAAACGAUGUCAACUAGCCGUUGGGAGCCUUGAGCUCUUAGUGGCGCAGCUAACGCAUUAAGUUGACCGCCUGGGGAGUACG